AUCGCGGAUCAGCAUGCCGCGGUGAAUACGUUCCCGGGCCUUCGUACACACCGCCCGUCACACCAUGGGAGCCGGUAAUACCCGAAGUCAGUAGUCCAACCACGUGAGGACGCUGCCGAAGGUAGGAUUGGCGACUGGGGUGAAGUCGUAACAAGGUACC
rnacentral:rRNA from 1 species